GCCACUUUCUUGGAUUCUUAGUUUCAUUUUUCUCCCUGUGUUAAUUUCUCUGAUUUUCUAUAGCAGAAUUGAAUAUUCUUAAAUAACUCAGCAAAAAUACAUUAUAAAUAAGUUAUAGUUUGGAUAUGUAGUAUUCCCCAGAGACUCAUGUGUUGAAGGCUUUGUCACCCACAGUGUACAGAGGUGGGGCUUUUAGGAAAUGAUUGCAUCAUGAGGGCUGUACCUUCACCAGUGAUUUAAUUCACUUUUUGAAUUAAUAAUUUGAAUGGACUAUUGGAACAUGGUAGAAACUAUACAGGGUCUGGCUUAGUUGAAGGGAGUGAGUCAAGAGUAUGUCCCCAAGGACUCACUUCUUUGCUUUCCAGCUGCCUUCAAGUGAACAUAAUUCUUCUGCCACAGUCUUCUACCUUGACUUCUGUCUUGCCUCAGGCCCAUAGCAAUGGAGCUGGCAGAACAUGGACUAAAACUGUUAAGCCAAAAUAAAUCUUUUCUCUUAUAAGGUGUUUAUGUCAGUCAUUUUGGUCACAGCAACAAAAAGCUAACACAAAUACAUGUGUAAUGUGGUUAAAUAAAUGCUUGAGAAGAGUUCAAGAUUUUCUUAACUAUGACAUAGAUGUAAAGGGAUGCUUUCAGGAUGGGGUACAUAGACCUUUAAUUAUAUGAAUAAUGUAUUAUUCUUUUUGUUUGGGGUUUUUUAUUAUAUUAUUUCUUAAUAUAAA
rnacentral:lncRNA from 1 species